rnacentral:rRNA from 1 species
CCUACGGGGGGCAGCAGUGAGGAAUAUUGGUCAAUGGGCGGAAGCCUGAACCAGCCAAGUAGCGUGCGGGAUGAAGGCCCUACGGGUCGUAAACCGCUUUUGCACGGGGAUAACACCCUCCACUUGUGGAGGUCUGCAGGUACCGUGCGAAUAAGGGCCGGCUAAUUCCGUGCCAGCAGCCGCGGUAAUACGGAAGGCCCGAGCGUUAUCCGGAUUCAUUGGGCUUAAAGGGAGCGUAGGCGGGCGUUCAAGUCAGCUGUAAAAUCUCGCGGCUCAACCGGUCCCCGCAAUUGAAACGGGGCGCCUUGAGUUCACAACAGGCAGGCGGAAUUCGGGGUGGAGCGGUGAAAGGCAUAGGUAUCACGAGGAACCCCGGUUGGGAAGGCAGCCUGCCGGGGUGCGACUGACGCUGAGGCUCGAAGGUGCGGGUAUCAAACAGGAUUAGAUACCCGGGUAGUC